rnacentral:lncRNA from 1 species
CAAACGGAUCCAACAAAUUUGUUGAGGCACAAACUUGACAUUGUAAUUUCAUGCAAUGAACGUGGGACCAAAUACUUAACUGUUUAAUACACAUAAGUGACUUGUCCCAAUACUUUUGAUUUCAAAUCCAACGUUCUGAAGUAUAGAGCCAAAAUAAGAAAUAAUGCUUCACUGUCCCAAUAAUUAUGGAGGGCACUGUAUGUACAGUAUACUGAGAAGGCACAGAAGGGGGGAUAGGACAGUCAAUCAUAGACCAUUGGCAUCCUUGAAGAGGUGUGUUUUUAGGAAGUUUUUGAAUGAAAUGAAUGCAUUUGCAUGUGUGGGGGGAGUGCAUUCCAGUUGCCUGGUGGCAAAGCAGCUGAAGGACCGGGCACCCACGGUGGAGAGGCAGAAUGGGGGAGUGACAAGGAGACCAGCAGAGUUGAAGCGGAGGGAGCAGGAGGGGGAUAGGCUGGGAGAAGGUCAGAGAGGCAGGUGCGUGGUUGGUUGUGGAGGGCUUUGUAGGUGAGGAAAGGUCGCUGGUUGGAAUACCCGAGCCGACAAGGUGAAAAACCUGUCGAUGUGCCCUUGAUGCCAAGCUCUGACAAUUGUUCGUUCUGAUAUUUUUACAUUUCUUUCUAUUUACUUUUGGAUUAUGUGUGUAUUGUUUUGUAUUGUUUUCUAGGUAUUAUUCCUGCACUGUUGGAGAUAGAAACACCAGCGAUAACAUCUGCAGAUCUGUAAUCAGGAGCAUCGUGUGACGUGGGAUUCUGUUGGCAGAGCACUGCCCAUGAGCAAGCAGACUUCUCUUGAACCUCCACUAUCCCAGAAACCCUCUCGCUGGAAGUCCAUUUGUUCACGAUAGACCCGCGCAACGGAAAGGCAGUUAACAUGUCUGACAAGAAACAGACUGUAGAUUUGGGAUUAUUAGAGGAGGACGAUGAGUUUGAAGAAUUCCCAGCCGAGGAUUGGACUGGGUUGGAUGAGGAUGAAGAUGCCCACGUGUGGGAAGACAACUGGGAUGAUGACAAUGUAGAGGACGACUUCUCUAAUCAACUAAGAGCGGAGCUGGAGAAACAUGGGUACAAGAUGGAGACGUCUCAGUAGCAGCCGAGUCCACACGGCUGUUGAGAUCGGAUAGGGAUGGACUUGAAUUUAUAACAUCAUACUUGAAAUGGAGGAUGUUUAACUUGCUAAACUCGCACACAUUUUUGUACGAAACCUUAGCACGAGUAAAGUGUUUCACGAGUAAAUUCCCCGCUCAGAGUUAUGUAGACAUUAAAGAUGGUUAUUUUCAAGUAUCUGUCCACAUACUCUUAUUUAUGCACAUUUUCCAUCUUUAUAUAUAAUCAGCUGGUCAGUUACUGCUUUAAUAUAAAUCCAUAUUUUACAGGUUUUGUGUUUUUACUAUAAUGACCACUUUGGUCCAGGGCUUUGGUUUAACAUCCAUUUAAAUACCACUUUUUGUUAGAGCCAUUGAUUUAAAUGUAGCUUUACUGCCUGCGCAACACUUAACCUACGUUUUAAUGGUCCAGUAAUUAUUGGCCUGUGUGACACACUCCAUCUAUUUUAAUCCACAAUAUGAAUGUUGCAUGAUGUUAGUAAAGAGUCAAGUGCUGCACUGCACAUUUUUCCAUUGUAAUGCUCUUAGUUUGAAAACUACCACCCAUUUUUCACAUGGUCACUCUCCAAUAUUAAACCAUUCAAUGAACAGGUGUGUGUCAGUCAGAAGUGGAUGGGGAGACACACACACACGCAGCGAGAUGUGUGCAUAAAUUGUGUGUACAGUGUGUGGGUGUGUGUGUGUAGGAUGAUCCACACACAGGGAUGCGUGUUCCCCUCUGCUGUCUACAUUCCCUCUGAGCUCAUGGCGUUGGGGCUGGGUCUCAGUCUGAAGGAGAGAUUAUCCACUGCCGUGUUUGUCAGGGGCAGGGAGGUGGUCUCAGCAUGGGGGCCCCUGCCCUGCCUGGGCCUGCCCUACUCCCGACCAGGCCCUGCUUUUCCGGCUCUGCACAGCAGGGACCCCUGCACUGAACCGAGGCCAAUUUAGCCCAGCCACACUCGCCCCUGCAUUUGUGGACUCUCAGUCCCUCUGUCUUAAAGAGAAGAAAUGGAUGCCAGUAAAACCUGCUGUAUAAGAGCUGCUUCCUCUCCUCCAGUGUUGCUCCCUCUGCUCUUUAUAUGUUGCUGGUAGACCUGCGUUAGCUUCUGUGGGAAUAGCAGUUAGGAAAGUUUUCUGCACAUACUGUUUUCCAGUGUUUCUCUACAUAUUAUGGUUGUAUUAUUAGAUACAAUCCUGAUUUCCUGUUCAAAACAAAAUGGGUUGAUUUAUCUCGUCUAUCCUCCACCACUAUAGGCAAAACAGACCAUCCUGUCAUCUGUCUUUUCCAGAUGAUUUUACAUCUAUGAUCUAUUGCUCAUGGCUGUCGUUCGUAAUGGUGUCUUUUUAAGGUAUGUUCUCUGAUAUUUGUGAAGUUGCACAGGUGUAAGUCCUCAAGAUGAGGGUAUCUCUCCAGAGGGUAUAACUCCCUCUUCACCAGUGAUUAUGCCAAACACUCGUCUGCAGACCACAAUCCAACCGCUCCCUUGUGUGUAAAGCCCUUAUGACACGUUCUGAUCUCUCCAACUGUUCAGAAUGGAAUUUCAAUUAGUCCAAAAUGAACAUUUGGUGUCUUUAGACUUUAUAGACCCCAUUUGAACUUGCAGUUGUGGGUUCUACUAGUGAAAUAUAAAAUGUAUACAUUUUGACACAUUAUUAAAUGGAGGAUGUGGGACUAAGAUUGACACAAUACACAAAGAUGCUCACGUUUACUUAUGCCGUUAAGCUAAGUGCCAAGAGCCGGAUCAUUAUUUUAAUUGUUGGAAAGGCAACGGAGUGAGAGAAUCGGUAAGUGUGAGAAAUGGAGAACACAGCCAUUUUGUUUGUGCUGAGAGCGGCAGGUUGUCUCCCUGUGUUGGGGUUUGAGCAGGGCCUCUGUGCCCCCCCCCAAUUGCUUUUCAUUUGCCUAACUUUUGUCAUUCAUUUAUGAGCCACAUAAUUCACCUUGACAUGGGCAGUCUGCCCACUUUUACCAAUAUUAAUGUGUCAACAAUCACAUUUCUAGUUUGAACUGAACCCCAAUGAGGAUGUAUUUUUGGAAGGUAACAGGAUUUCAAUUUGGAACACUGUUUCAUCAAUAGACUGCUACAGUUGCUUUUGUCCACUUUGUCAAAAUAAAAAGCAUCUGUACAUGAAA